rnacentral:lncRNA from 10 species
AAAGCAUUAAUAUUUUGCCUUUUAUAUUUAGCAUGGUUAAUCUGCCUGGGGAUUUUGACAUAUAGUAUGAGGCAGGGACCUAAUUUUAAUUUUUUUUUUCAUGUAGGUAAUGAAUUUCCCCAGUCCAACUUAUUGAAUAAUCAUUGUCCUGAAGUAGUUAAUGGAUUUGAGUUACAGCUCGGCAAAUUCCACAAAGAAAAUAAAACAGCACAAGGUCCCCACAGAGCGACGGGAGGCAGGAAAGGGGAAGUCCAUGCCACCAGAGGAAUAGUUUCAUUGAACGCUUGAUCUUUGAGCCGAACUCAGAAGGAGCCACCCCUGUAAAGGUCUAUAGGCUGAUUAAACUUGAUGGGUUCUGGAGAUGCCGAGGAAGAGAGGCAGCAUCACCUACUUGCCUGGACUCUAGAUGGGCAGCUGAUCAUCUUGGACAGACUGCUGGAUGCUGUACCCAGGGUGGUCACUCCCAGACACCAUAGAAAAUGCUCAGCUAAGUGCCCAAGCCAGGCUGUGGCAAAGGAAGUCGUCAUUUUAAGGUGAAGACAGGUGAG